AACCCCCCUGGUUUUAAGGCCAGGGCAAGAACUUCACUGGCGUCUGCCAGCGUCUGUGUCAGCAUGCCUGUACUAGGUCACAACAAUAGCCCCCACCAGUGUCUCAGUCUCUGGUGAGGUCUCACCUCUCACCGAGAAGCACCCAGAGCCUACCAGGUCAAUAUUCACAGCUAUUGGAUGUUGUUAAGGAGCAAGCACUGAGACCCAUCCCUUCUCCUCUUGUGUUCUGUUGGCGAGAAUAGACAUAAUGGCAUCCAACUGCUGAUGUGUGUUGGCGAAUGUAGUUUGAACCUGAAGUGUAAUGGUCACUCCUACUUCCACCCUGAAUCUGGACUUGCCUAUGAAGAGAUCUGGAUAUGUAGGACAGUUUUAGAAGCCACUGGGAGGGGCCACAGGCCUGCUCCACGCACCGUAACCAGCAGGACAGUGAGUGACAAUGGUGGACCCCCUUCCUUACACACAAACACAGAAGGGUCUGUUGUAAGGAGUUAGGGAGAAGAUGAGGAGGAGGACUUGUUCCAUUUGAGAGGAAGUUGGUGGGAAUAAGAGCACAGACCAGCCGCCUUUAACCUUCUUAUUCCCAUUGCCAGAAAAUUUUACCAAUCAGGAGUGAGAUGAUUGCUCCUUGCUGUUUGCUAUGCACUCUGUGGAUUCCACGCUGAGAUCACUACAGUUGGAGAAGGAUGGCCUCUAUCAAAGCAAGUCAGAGAAACUCCCAGGAGAGAAGCCAAGGUGUCAUUUCCUGGGACCAAAUGUUUUAUUGAUGGACAAAGAAUUGCACAUAUUUAACAUGGAAAAUUUGAUGAAUUUGGUCAUCAGCAAACAUCCUUGAUACCAUCACCACAAUCAGAUAAUAGACAGAUCCAACACCUCCAAGAGUUUUCUGGUUUUCCUUAAGUUUUUUUGUGUGUGUAUAUGUGGUAAGAACACUUAACGUCAUUCUUAUUAUUAAACAGAAGGUGAGUUAUGGACCAACAGAUGUUACCAAACCAAGCAAGGAAUCGAAAUAGAAAUGUUUACUUUUGCUGCAUGAUAGUAGAAUAAUGUGCUUAUUUUUGUUCAUUCGCUCAUUCAUUUGCUGAGAUAUUUACUGUGUUCCACUUGUGUUGUUUUUAGCACUUAAGAUGCAGUCGUGGAAAAGAGACCAGUUUCUUAUCAAUGAGGUUUACAUUUUAAUGGGGAAAUAGAAGAAAUGCUUUUGUUUUGAAAACCUUCAGCUGCAAUGACUUUUGAAUUAAUUUCUUCAGGCAUUUAAUUAUUCAUUAAGUUACUUUUGAAGCAAUUAUUCAAAAAUCAUGUUCAACAUAGUAUUUACCAUAAUAAAAGUGAUGUUAUUUGGAGAAAUUUUUAGAAAACAAAAUAAAGUUUAAAACCACCUAUAAUUACAUAAUAUGGAAGACUAUGGCAGUCAGUAAUGUGUGUCUAUGUCCUCCAUUUUUCUCUAUAUUUAGAUUUAUGGACCAAUGUAAUUUUCUGAAAACAAAGGAAUUGAUUUCAUAAAUUACUUUCCCUCAUUCUGUUAAAUAUUCUCUAAGAAUAUGACUUCCCCUAUUCAUAAUCUGGAAUAAAUAUGCUGCAAUUUAUUUAAGUAGUAUUCUAUCAUUAGACUUUGAGGGUAUUUUUCUCAAAUUUAUUUAAGUAACACUACGAUAAAUAGCCUGUAUACACAUCUUGGUAUGUGUCUAUGACUAUCUUCUUAGGGUAAAUGUCUAGAAGUGACUUGAUUGUGUGAAAGUCUAUUAAACAUAUACAGAUUUUAUACAUCAUCUCAACUACCCCUCCAAAGAAUGUAAUUUUACCACAUUAUAAUUUAUCAAUGUUUAUUUCCCUGCAUCCUUACUAGUAUUAGAUAUUUUCAGGUUUUCCCUCUAAUCACAGCCCAAUUGUCUACAGAAAAAAAAAUAUGUCAUUGGUUUAACUUUCAAUCCUUUGAUGAUAAGCAAGUUAAGCACUUGUUCACAUUUAUUGUUCACUGUUGUAUUGGUUAAUUGCCUUUUACAUUUCUGCCCAUAUAUCUAUUUUGUGAUUCAACUCGUAUUUUUUCUUUGUGAAAAUCUCUGUAUAUUAAGCAUAAUUAACUAUAAUUUUGUUAUAUAUUUUAAAUUACUUUUCUGGUGUUUCCUUUACCUUUUAUGGUAUUUUGGAGAUUCCAUUUUUACGUUGUUAAACCUAUUAAUGUUUACCUUUAAUUUUCUCUGGCUGCUUGUGUGGUUAAAAUCGUUUUCCACUUUGAUAUCAGAAAUUAUUUUUGUAUCUGAGCUUCAAGUUCUUCUAUUUUUUAUAAAAAGAAAGAAUCGAGUGUGGAUUUUUUUAAAUAGUAGGAGUUUUGUGGUUGAUCAGUUCUCCUGGUGUGUAUGUAUAUGCAUGCAUGUAUUAUGUAUUUUUUUAUUUCUAAAAUUUGUUUUGGAAUAGACCUUCUUCAAUGAUUUAAAAAUUCUACUUUUAUUGCAUACUAGAUUUUUAUGUAAAUUUAGCUCUGGACAGUUCUCUCACGGUUUGUGUAUUGUACAGGAUAAAACUGUUUUAGCUGUUAUAUUUUCAUAAUGUAUUUACAUAUUUGAUAA
ensembl:lncRNA